rnacentral:rRNA from 1 species
GGAGCGACACCGCGUGAGGGAUGACGGCCCUCGGGUUGUAAACCUCGUUAUAAGCACCGGCUAACUACGUGCCAGCAGCAGCGGUCACACGUAGGGUGCGAGCAUUAUCCGGAGUUACUGGGCGUAAAGAGUUCUGUAGGCGGCAGUGUAAGUCUAAGGUUAAAGACCCCGGCUCAACCGGGGAAAAGCUUUGGAUACUGCUCUACUAGAGACAGCUAGGGGACACUGGAACUUACGGUGAAGCAGUGAAAUGCGUUGAUAUCGUAGGGAACACCAAGGGGGAAGCCAAGUGUCUGGGGCUGUUCUGACGCUGAGAGACGAAAGCGUGGGUAGCGAAACGGAUUAGAUACCCGUGUAGUCCACGCUGUAAACUAUGCCUGCUAGAUACCUGUUUAUAUGGGUGUCGAAGCUAACGCGUUAAGCAGGCCGCCUGGGAAGUACGGUCGCAAGGCUAAAACUCAAAGGAAUUGGCGGGGACCCGCACAAGCGGUGGAGCAUGCUCUUUAAUUGGCUGAUAACCCAAGAACCUUACCCAGGUUUGACAUGUACCCUUACUGUUAGUUGUAUCACUCUAACGGAACUGCCGUCGCAAGGCGGAGGAAGGUGGGGACGACGUCAAGUCGGUAUUGCCUUUAUGCCUGGGGCUAGAAGCAUGCUACAAUGGCGCGUACAACGAGUUGCAACACGGUGACGUGAAGCUAAUCUCUUAAAGCGCGCCUCAGUUCGGAUUGGAGUCUGCAAUUCGACUCCAUGAAGUUGGAAUCGCUAGUAAUCGCAGGUCAGCUAUACUGCGGUGAAUACGUUCUCGGGUCUUGCACACACUGCCCGUCACGCCAGCAAAGCUGGGGCCACCUUAAGUCUCUUAUUUUAAGGGCCCAAGGUGGAAUCAGUGAUGAGGGUGAAGUCGUAACAAGGUAGCCGUAGGGGAAUCUGCGGCUG